AACAACUAUCCGCUGUGCUCUGAAGUCAUCUCCCAAUGAAUCAAUAACUCACCUCUGGAAAUCGACUUGUAAUCAUACUAACACCCAAUAUGAUCAGUAUACGUCGACAAAAGAAGUAAUUAAGUCAUUCCGUGAAAUUCAAGAAGAUAAAUUGGAAAAUCAGUUAAAAUGCCAAGGUUCAUUCUUCUCCAGCAUCUCAAAAUUUUCACUACCCCAAGUAAAUUCGAUUUGGCCAACCUGUCAAUCCAAACUACCAAAAAACAUUUUCAACUUCACUAUUCGCUACAUAAACAAUUCGCUACCAACCCGUAAAAACCUUCAAAAAUGGGGCCUCUCCUCGUCCUCUGAGUGCUCGUUUUGCCUUAAACCUGAAUCUCUGUUACACGUUGUUGCUGGCUGUAGUUCUUAUCUUGAUCGAUUUACUUGGAGACACGACUCAAUCCUAAAUUUUAUUGCUAAUAACCUCCCAUGAUCCUAUCAGAACAUAUUCAGACCAUUUAUGCUGACUUACCGUCAUUCCCUAAUCCCUCUAUUAUUACUGGUGAUGACCAUCGUCCUGAUCUACUAAUUUUGACCAAAGACAAUUGUCUGUAUGUACUCGAACUAACCGUUGGAUAUGAGACUAACCUGAGAAAUAAUAUACAGCGCAAAUAUUCAAAAUAUAAAGAAAUGAUCGUAGAACAAAAGAAAAAAUUCCGGCCGGUAAAGUUCAUUAACCUCUCCAUCAGUGCACUCGGUGUUUUUGAAAAAGAAUCUUCACAUUUCAUACAAAUGUUGGAAUAUUUGAACUCAGAUAAGGCCGGUGUUAAAUAUAUCAUUAGGAAAAUCAUUAACAUUGCAAUAAGAACGACAUAUUACGUUUUCUGUUCUAGAAACAAGGAUUGGUCGAAUCCAGAUUUAAUGAACUUCUAGUUAGUCUCUUACUUUUUGUAUCAUAUAAUUAUGUCCAUGUGUUAUGUAAAUGUAGUAAUAUAUAGCGUAUCAAGUAGCCAAUUGUAAAUUACCUUUAACAGUGAGAUUUUCAAUUGUAAGUGCAUAAAAAAUUCAAUAAAGUUUUCAUUAUUAUUAUUAUUAUUAUUAUUAUUCUGUAGAAAUUCCAUUUUGAUGAUUUGUACAUAUUUUAAGCUUAGUUUAACAUUGUAUUCUUUUCUUAAUCUUUUGUACCAUAAUGUAGCCAGGUUGCCUAUAAUACUUUAGUGA